AGAGUUUGAUCAUGGCUCAGAACGAACGCUGGCGGCAGGCUUAACACAUGCAAGUCGAACGCUCGUAGCAAUACGGGAGUGGCAGACGGGUGAGUAACGCGUGGGAACAUACCCUCCGGUUCGGAAUAGCUCAGGGAAACUUGGAUUAAUACCGGAUACGGCUGAGAGGCGAAAGAUUUAUCGCCGGAGGAUUGGCCCGCGUUCGAUUAGCUUGUUGGUGAGGUAACGGCUCACCAAGGCGAUGAUCGAUAGCUGGUCUGAGAGGAUGAUCAGCCACAUUGGGACUGAGACACGGCCCAAACUCCUACGGGAGGCAGCAGUGGGGAAUAUUGGACAAUGGGCGCAAGCCUGAUCCAGCCAUGCCGCGUGAGUGAUGAAGGCCUUAGGGUUGUAAAGCUCUUUCGCCAGGGACGAUAAUGACGGUACCUGGAUAAGAAGCCCCGGCUAACUUCGUGCCAGCAGCCGCGGUAAUACGAAGGGGGCUAGCGUUGUUCGGAUUUACUGGGCGUAGAGCGCACGUAGGCGGAUUUUUAAGUCAGGGGUGAAAUCCCGAGGCUCAACCUCGGAACUGCCCUUGAUACUGGAAGUCUCGAGUCCGGGAGAGGUGAGUGGAACUGCGAGUGUAGAGGUGAAAUUCGUAGAUAUUCGCAAGAACACCAGUGGCGAAGGCGGCUCACUGGCCCGGUACUGACGCUGAGGUGCGAAAGCGUGGGGAGCAAACAGGAUUAGAUACCCUGGUAGUCCACGCCGUAAACGAUGGAUGCUAGCCGUUGGGGAGCUUGCUCUUCAGUGGCGCAGCUAACGCUUUAAGCAUCCCGC
rnacentral:rRNA from 1 species